rnacentral:lncRNA from 1 species
UCAGAAGUAUUUUUAAACAAUUAAAAAUAUGCAAAGAAAACAUUUAAUUCAUGAAAAAAAUCCAAAUUAAUCCAAAAAAUAAUUUUAAUUCAGAAAAUGAAAGAGAAAAAUAUUUAAGGCUUUUUAGUGAAAGUCCCAAAUUUUUUGGAUAAAAAAUGAAAUUAUUAUGAAUUAAACAAAAUAAAGCAAUUAAACAUAAAAUCAGAAAUUAAAAAGAAAAUAAAAAAAAC